rnacentral:rRNA from 1 species
CCCUUAGAUGUUCUGGGCCGCACGCGCGCUACACUGAUGCAUUCAACGAGUCUAAAACCUGCUCUGAUAGGGGUGGGUAAUCUUUUGAAUGUGCAUCGUGAUUGGGAUAGAUGAUUGCAAUUUUUCAUCUUCAACGAGGAAUGCCUAGUAAACGCAGGUCAUCAGCUUGCAUUGAUUACGUCCCUGCCCUUUGUACACACCGCCCGUCGCUCCUACCGAUUGAAUGAUCCGAUGAAUAUCAUAGACUGAGAGUAUAAGCAGGUUCGCCUGUCUUUGCUUCUCGGGAAGUGAAGUAAAUCUUAUCAUUUAGAGGAAGGAGAAGUCGUAACA